GAUGAACGCUGGCGGCGUGCCUAAUACAUGCAAGUCGAGCGAACAGAUGAGGAGCUUGCUCCUCUGACGUUAGCGGCGGACGGGUGAGUAACACGUGGAUAACCUACCUAUAAGACUGGGAUAACUUCGGGAAACCGGAGCUAAUACCGGAUAAUAUAUUGAACCGCAUGGUUCAAUAGUGAAAGACGGUUUUGCUGUCACUUAUAGAUGGAUCCGCGCCGCAUUAGCUAGUUGGUAAGGUAACGGCUUACCAAGGCAACGAUGCGUAGCCGACCUGAGAGGGUGAUCGGCCACACUGGAACUGAGCCACGGACCAGACUCCUACGGGAGGCAGCAGUAGGGAAUCUUCGGCAAUGGGCGAAAGCCUGACGGAGCAACGCCGCGUGAGUGAUGAAGGUCUUCGGAUCGUAAAACUCUGUUAUUAGGGAAGAACAAAUGUGUAAGUAACUAUGCACGUCUUGACGGUACCUAAUCAGAAAGCCACGGCUAACUACGUG
rnacentral:rRNA from 1 species